rnacentral:tRNA from 1 species
GGCUCAGUGGUUGAGCAUUGGCCUAUGAACCAGAAGGUCAGGGUUCAAUUCCCUG